GUUGUGGCUCAAUGGCAGAGCACUUGCCUAGCAUGUGUGAGGCACUGGGUUCAAUCCUCAGCACACA
rnacentral:tRNA from 1 species